GGAAGGGUGGCAGAGCGGUCGAAUGCACCGGUCUUGAAAACCGGCAGGGCGCAAGCCCUCGUGGGUUCGAAUCCCACCCCUUCCGCCA
rnacentral:tRNA from 1 species